CUCGGUGUCAGUACAAUUUGUCGUCAUUCCGAUGUAGGGAUCUAUUCCAUGACUUGCAGCAAGUGGUUCAUAUGUUUUAGGAAUUGCACACCAAUUCUCGAAUGAUUUUUUCCCAUGCCCUUCAUAAUAUACAGAUAAACCUCCCCAAGAGGUCUGGGUUAUAGGACGAAUACAAGCUUCCCCGUCUAAAACUCUUUCAUUAGCGAAAAGAUAAAACAUAUCAAGCCGAUACCCAGAAUACUUAUAUGCAGGAUGAAGACAUCCUGUUCUGUUCAAAUUUAACAUGGCACCACUAUCACGGAACCGAAACUGAGCAGCUGGAUUCAGAGAGUUGUUGGAAAGUUCUAGAAAAUAAAUGCUUCCCCAUCCCCCUUUUCUUAUUAUUAUAUUUGUGUCAACAAUACACAUCCCUGUCUGUAUGUGUUUCACAAAAAAACCAGCAGCAUCUGAAAAAAUAAUAAAAAUAUAGAAAUUUGAAUGCACUCUUUUAUUGUUCGUGCUGUAUUUUUAUGAUAUUCAAUAUGACAAUGUAAGUCGCGGUAGUUAUUAUGUGUGUCAAAAUAACUUUCCCACGAUAAGCACGGCAAUACUGCGGAAAUAUUUAAAAGCAUAUGAAAUAUAAGUGCAUGAUAUUUAAACGACUGAAAACUAACCUUGUAGCAGCAGGAGAGUCACAAUGAAUAUUACCAAAUGAAAACAUUUUAAAAACAUUUUUUAAUUGAGUCAACACCUCGAUUUUGUUGAGCAAAGUUAUAAAUCGAGAUACGUUAUAAGAGCGGAGGACGA